rnacentral:rRNA from 1 species
GUGAGCCGCUCCUAAGAGAUAGGGAAAUUCCGUUCUGAAGUGGGCAUUCUCGGAUGCCCCGCCUAUCGAAAGGGAACACGGUUAAUAUUCCGUGGCUGGGACGUGGAUAUGUGGUAACACAAACGAGCUUGGAGACGUCGGAGGGAACCCCAGGAAGAGUUCUCUUUUCUUGUUAACAGCUUCUUACCCUGGAAUCGAUUUACUCGGAGAUAGGGUUAAAUAGCUGGUAAAGCAUGCCAACUUUUGGCGUGUCUGGUGCGUUUCCGACGGCCCUUGAAAAUCCAAGUGAGAGUUUUAUUCGCACCCCCAGGCGUACUCAUAACCGCAUCAGGU